rnacentral:rRNA from 1 species
GUGGGGAAUAUUGCGCAAUGGGCGAAAGCCUGACGCAGCAACGCCGCGUGCGGGAUGACGGCCUUCGGGUUGUAAACCGCUUUCAGCAGGGAAGAAGCGAAAGUGACGGUACCUGCAGAAGAAGCACCGGCUAACUACGUGCCAGCAGCCGCGGUAAUACGUAGGGUGCAAGCGUUGUCCGGAUUUAUUGGGCGUAAAGAGCUCGUAGGCGGUCAGUCGCGUCGGAUGUGAAAACCCGGAGCUUAACUCCGGGCCUGCAUUCGAUACGGGCUGACUAGAGUGUUGUAGGGGAGACUGGAACUCCUGGUGUAGCGGUGAAAUGCGCAGAUAUCAGGAAGAACACCGGUGGCGAAGGCGGGUCUCUGGGCAACUACUGACGCUGAGGAGCGAAAGCGUGGGGAGCAAACAGGAUUAGAAACCCGGGUAGUCC